AGUUGGUGGAAGGGGACAGGUCUUGGUGAAAAGUUGGCUUUUGUGAGGGCCAGGCCGAUGGAGGUCUUCCUAUGGACUGUUGGGGGAGUUUUCGAGCCUCAAUAUGGAUAUUUCAGGAGAAAUCUAUCGCAAGUUGGUGCACUUAUUACUGUAAUCGAUGAUAUUUAUGAUGUUUAUAGUACCUUAGAUGAGGUGGAGCUAUUUACAGAGGCUGUUACGAGUUCUGUAUCUGUAAUAAUUAAUAUUCUUUUUUUUCUACAAAAAUACUACACAGCUCAAGUUGAGCAAGCUCAAAAU
rnacentral:misc_RNA from 1 species